rnacentral:rRNA from 1 species
UGGGGAAUAUUGCACAAUGGGCGAAAGCCUGAUGCAGCAACGCCGCGUGAGUGAUGAAGGUCUUCGGAUUGUAAAGCUCUGUCUUUUGGGACGAUAAUGACGGUACCAAAGGAGGAAGCCACGGCUAACUACGUGCCAGCAGCCGCGGUAAUACGUAGGUGGCGAGCGUUGUCCGGAUUUACUGGGCGUAAAGGGUGCGUAGGCGGAUGUUUAAGUGAGAUGUGAAAUACCCGGGCUUAACUUGGGUGCUGCAUUUCAAACUGGAUAUCUAGAGUGCAGGAGAGGAGAAUGGAAUUCCUAGUGUAGCGGUGAAAAUGCGUAGAGAUUAGGGAGAACACCAGUGGCGAAGGCGAUUCUCUGGACUGUAACUGACGCUGAGGCACGAAAGCGUGGGUAGCAAACAGGAUUAGAUACCCUGGUAGUCCACGCCGUAAACGAUGAGUACUAGGUGUAGGAGGUAUCGACCCCCUUCUGUGCCGCAGUAAAACACAUUAAGUACUCCGCCUGGGAAGUACGAUCGCAAGAUUAAAAACUCUAAAAGUGAAUUGAC